rnacentral:rRNA from 1 species
GACGGAGGAUGCAAGCGUUAUCCGGAAUUAUUGGGCGUAAAGCGUCCGCAGGUGGCAGUUCAAGUCUGCUGUCAAAGGCCGGGGCUUAACUUCGGAAAGGCAGUGGAAACUGAACAGCUAGAGUAUGGUAGGGGCAGAGGGAAUUCCUGGUGUAGCGGUGAAAUGCGUAGAGAUCAGGAAGAACAUCGGUGGCGAAGGCGCUCUGCUGGACCAUAACUGACACUCAGGGACGAAAGCUAGGGGAGCGAAUGGG